CUCCUCGACUGGACCUACGGAGCCACCUAGGACGCGGCCCCGAAGACGCUGGGCUCAUCUUUCGCUGACAGUUUGCUAACUACUAAAUGGAUCACUGCCCAUCACUAUAAUGGUGAAGGAAAGAUCCAUGGUAAUGAACUUCACAGACUCCCACUUCCGGUAAAUUUCAGACCUUCCGCCCCACAGCUUGCUCGGAGGGGAAGGGGCGGGCCAGGCGAAGGUGCGGAGGCGUGAGUCCUUUUGGGCAGACGGGAAGCACUAACGUGAGUUACCAAAAGGACAAGUCUGAUAUGGAGAUUAAUUAAAACAUCAAAUCCAGAUGGGCAACAGUAGGGUCAAAACAGAGAUAAAAUAAAAUCGGAGCACGCUGGGAACAAAUGGAAGACAAGUGACAGCUGAUGGAGCAUUCCUGUCUCACUGCACUGUCCUUAAGCGUGAGAUCCUUGGGGACUGGAGAUAAUCUCACACGUGUGAAGUCUUGGUGGGAUUCAUCCACAGUGCGGCAUUUGUGAUAAUGGACCACCCUGGUCUGCCUUCAGUGACAAUCUGCCAGGCCAGUUGAGCCAGAAUGCGCCCUUACCCUGAUGCCUCCUCUUAAUGAAAAGCUCAACAAAGGAAAUAAUAUAAGAGGAGAUUUAUGGUACUGAGAACAUUUGACAUAAGUGUUUUCCUGAGUCAAGACACAGCACUCAGCUUCCCUGGAGCUGUGCUAUAGAGAACUCACAACUAAUACCUCCAUUCAGCUCCACCAGCCCGUUAAACACAACCCUCCGAUGGGGACUGUUCAGGCAAACUGGAUGAAAGAAAGAAUAUAUAACAUCACCAGUGUAGUGAUCUGAAGAACCUCACCUUGCCACCAGUUAUUUGAGAUUCAAAACUAGAGAAACAACCAAGGAAUAAAAACAGAAUGACUUUCAGA